GGGAAAGUGGCUCAGUGGUAGAGUGCUUGCCUUGCAUGCAUGAGGCCGUGGGUUCAAUUCCUCAGAACCA
rnacentral:tRNA from 1 species